AACUUCCAACAAUGGAUCUCUUGGUUCCGGCAUCGAUGAAGAACGCAGCGAAAUGCGAUAACUAAUGUGAAUUGCAGAAUUCAGUGAAUCAUCGAGUCUUUGAACGCACAUUGCGCCCCCUGGUAUUCCGGGGGGCAUGCCUGUCCGAGCGUCAUU
rnacentral:rRNA from 1 species